rnacentral:rRNA from 1 species
UACGUAGGGUGCAAGCGUUUAAUCGGAAUUACUGGGCGUAAAGCGUGCGCAGGCGGUUUUGUAAGUCUGUUGUGAAAUCCCCGGGCUCAACCUGGGAAUGGCAAUGGAUACUGGCAGGCUAGAGUGCGGUAGAGGGUAGUGGAAUUCCCGGUGUAGCGGUGAAAUGCGCAGAUAUCAGGAGGAACACCGAUGGCGAAGGCAGGUCUCUGGGCAUUAACUGACGCUGAGGAGCGAAAAGCAUGGGGAGCGAACAGG